rnacentral:rRNA from 1 species
CAUAGGUUAAUGAGGCGAACCGGGGGAACUGAAACAUCUAAGUACCCCGAGGAAAAGAAAUCAACCGAGAUUCCCCCAGUAGCGGCGAGCGAACGGGGAGGAGCCCAGAGCCUGAAUCAGUGUGUGUGUUAGUGGAAGCGUCUGGAAAGGCGCGCGAUACAGGGUGACAGCCCCGUACACAAAAAUGCACAUAUUGUGAGCUCGAUGAGUAGGGCGGGACACGUGGUAUCCUGUCUGAAUAUGGGGGGACCAUCCUCCAAGGCUAAAUACUCCUGACUGACCGAUAGUGAACCAGUACCGUGAGGGAAAGGCGAAAAGAACCCCGGCGAGGGGAGUGAAAAAGAACCUGAAACCGUGUACGUACAAGCAGUGGGAGCCUCUUAAUGGGGUGACUGCGUACCUUUUGUAUAAUGGGUCAGCGACUUAUAUUCUGUAGCAAGGUUAACCGAAUAGGGGAGCCGAAGGGAAACCGAGUCUUAACUGGGCGUUAAGUUGCAGGGUAUAGACCCGAAACCCGGUGAUCUAGCCAUGGGCAGGUUGAAGGUUGGGUAACACUAACUGGAGGACCGAACCGACUAAUGUUGAAAAAUUAGCGGAUGACUUGUGGCUGGGGGUGAAAGGCCAAUCAAACCGGGAGAUAGCUGGUUCUCCCCGAAAGCUAUUUAGGUAGCGCCUCGUGAAUUCAUCUCCGGGGGUAGAGCACUGUUUCGGCAAGGGGGUCAUCCCGACUUACCAACCCGAUGCAAACUGCGAAUACCGGAGAAUGUUAUCACGGGAGACACACGGCGGGUGCUAACGUCCGUCGUGAAGAGGGAAACAACCCAGACCGCCAGCUAAGGUCCCAAAGUCAUGGUUAAGUGGGAAACGAUGUGGGAAGGCCCAGACAGCCAGGAUGUUGGCUUAGAAGCAGCCAUCAUUUAAAGAAAGCGUAAUAGCUCACUGGUCGAGUCGGCCUGCGCGGAAGAUGUAACGGGGCUAAACCAUGCACCGAAGCUG